UGAACGCUGGCGGCGUGCCUAAUACAUGCAAGUCGAGCGAACAGAUGAGGAGCUUGCUCCUCUGACGUUAGCGGCGGACGGGUGAGUAACACGUGGAUAACCUACCUAUAAGACUGGGAUAACUUCGGGAAACCGGAGCUAAUACCGGAUAAUAUAUUGAACCGCAUGGUUCAAUAGUGAAAGACGGUUUUGCUGUCACUUAUAGAUGGAUCCGCGCCGCAUUAGCUAGUUGGUAAGGUAACGGCUUACCAAGGCAACGAUGCGUAGCCGACCUGAGAGGGUGAUCGGCCACACUGGAACUGAGACACGGUCCAGACUCCUACGGGAGGCAGCAGUAGGGAAUCUUCCGCAAAGGGCGAAAGCUUGACGGAGCAACGCCGCGUGAGUGAUGAAGGUCUUCGGAUCGUAAAACUCUGUUAUUAGGGAAGAACAAAUGUGUAAGUAACUAUGCACGUCUUGACGGUACCUAAUCAGAAAGCCACGGCUAACUACGUG
rnacentral:rRNA from 1 species